rnacentral:lncRNA from 1 species
UGCAUGUAAUUUAAGCCGCUAAUGAGCUUGUCCUGUGUCCCACUAAUUAAAAAAUCAAAGCAGAUAAAGAAAUACUCAAAAGAAGGAAAAGUAGUAAAUUAAUUUGAUUCUUAUUCUCUUUCUACGUACUACUGGAGUCAAAUGUAUGAUUUGGCAUCCAAGAACCCCUGUUUCCUUCUCAUUUUACAAUGAAAGAUUGGGCUGCUCCGCUCAUUGCCGCCGCGCUGUUUGCAUUUCUAGCGCCGGGACUGCUGUUUCAACUUCCAGGAAAGCAUAAACCCUUCGAGUUUAUGAACAUGAAGACUACUAUAGCCUCCAUGUUUUUGCACACUGUCCUUUAUGGUUUGCUUCUUAUUCUGUUCCUUGUAGUUCUUGACAUCCAUCUUUACGCCUAAGAGCUAGCUAGCUAGCUACCUACUCCAUGAAGUAUUAAAGUUUCUUCUCUUGUACUUAAAUUUAUAUAUGUACUCAUCAUCAUGUUGCUGCCAUUACUCCUCUAGCUAGUUUGUUUUCUUACUAAAGCAGGCAAGCAGCAGAGUUCUGUGAUUCAAAUCAGCUUUUAGGUGUUCUUUAUGUUCAUGUCGAGUUAAUGGAAAACUUGAAAUUAUGGCUUUUAGCAUGUCUAGAAAACUAACUCAACUACGACUGACCUUAAAAUAAGCCAUCCCAACUACUUGUAUAAAAGUAAAGGCACACAAGGGGAGGGGAGCAAUUGCAGUUUUUAUUUUAUUUUUCACUUGCAGAUUUGUUAAUCAUGCUAAGAAUAAGACAUGUGCAACCAAAAAAGGGUUGAUCUAUUUGAUAUAUUACACUUUUGCUAUCAGAUUGCUUACAGAAUCAUAACUAACUCUAGUAUAUUUUGGUUUCAGUAGCUUAAUGCUUUUGGGUGUACUGUUGUUAGAUCUAUAGAGAUUACUCAGCCUCAAGUUAACAGUACAAUUGCUGGCUCUCUAUCUACAUGAAAAAAUAGAUAUUAUUAUAUAGGCCUGAUCUGAAUAUUGGACUUGAUAAAUACAUUAAUCUGACAUUCAAUUAAUUUGGAUGGCAUUUUGUGACGGUUAAAAAUGGUGGUUGACCUAUUGCACACUCCCAAGAGGUAGUAGCUACAGGUUCCUCGGUUACCAAUAAAUGUUGUCAAUAAACUAUACUUUUGAGUCCUUUAUAUAUGUUUUCUAUGGACAUAUAUCAAUAUAUAUUAAUAUCAAAUUUUAAAAUAUUAUUAAUUAUAAUUAUCCACGAGGUACCUCGUAACUAAAAUAACGCAAUAUAUAUUAUUAUCCAACUCUUUUUUUUUCAUCUUCCCAACUCUUGAGCUAUCUUAUCUAUUGGUAGUUUGGUACUACUUCAGUACUUCCUAUACUACUAGUCAUGCCAUAACUACACUAACAAAAACAUAGAAUAAACAAACAUCAUUGCAAAUUCCAAGGUCACCCGGGCCAAGCUCCUCCGGCAAAAACACCUAGCACAUGAAAACACACUAAUAAAUCAAAUUACAGCUCUAGAUCCAAUCUAGGUCUAUGUCUAUCAAUGGGUCAGUCAGUAUCAAGACUAGAUAAACCAAAGCAGUCUAUGGGAAGUUUUAGGAAUGAAAUUUAUAGGAAGAUUAGCGGGGAACCGCUAGGAAUCAGUACUAGUACUGUGUUCACUGCUAUGUGCUAAAGACUGCGGAAUAAGAUGUAAGACCCCAAAUUAUUAAUAAAUGAAAUUUAUUUUCCUCUAUUUAUUAUUUUGAAAUAGUAAAGGUUGAUUUGAUUAAUGUGGAUAGUUAUGGGUAAAAUACGCAAAUAUUUCGAAUAAGCAAGUGGUUAUAAAAUAUUCAUUAUUAUCGGGGAAUAUUCGUUUGGUCGUGGAAUAUUCGUACUGUCGGGGAAUAUUCGUACGACGGCGCAGUCUUUUGUGAGCCCCAUAACGGAAAGCUAUUGGAUGAAGAAAACGACAAAUAUAAGUUGUUUAUAAAUAAUGGUGUAGUUGUUACCGUUAAUACUGUUGGAAUACCCGAUGGUUAAAACACACUAAUACG